AUUGAACGCUGGCGGCAGGCCUAACACAUGCAAGUCGAGCGGAUGAAGGGAGCUUGCUCCUGGAUUCAGCGGCGGACGGGUGAGUAAUGCCUAGGAAUCUGCCUGGUAGUGGGGGAUAACGUCCGGAAACGGGCGCUAAUACCGCAUACGUCCUGAGGGAGAAAGGGGGGGAUCUUCGGACCUCACGCUAUCAGAUGAGCCUAGGUCGGAUUAGCUAGUUGGUGGGGUAAAGGCCUACCAAGGCGACGAUCCGUAACUGGUCUGAGAGGAUGAUCAGUCACACUGGAACUGAGACACGGUCCAGACUCCUACGGGAGGCAGCAGUGGGGAAUAUCGGACAAUGGGCGAAAGCCUGAUCCAGCCAUGCCGCGUGUGUGAAGAAGGUCUUCGGAUUGUAAAGCACUUUAAGUUGGGAGGAAGGGCAGUAAGUUAAUACCUUGCUGUUUUGACGUUACCAACAGAAUAAGCACCGGCUAACUUCGUG
rnacentral:rRNA from 1 species